ACCAAACGAACCCUACCCUUAACCCCUUCUCUCUCUUCCUCUUAUAUGCUAAACCCUAGCCGCUGCCUAUAUUCUCCCUCUCUCUCUCAUCUAAAAAUGGUAAAAAUGCAGAGAGCCCAGAAAAUGCACAGCUUUUGCAUAAUCAUUUUUAUGAAACAAUCAAUUUCAAGUUUUGUUUUCACUCGAAUCUCUCCCAAACGCGGUAAUCGCCCUUUUCUUUUGAAUUAUUGAGUCAAAAGGUUGAUCUUUUCUGUUUUAUUUGUUGUACUGUGUUCGUAUUUACUCAAAUCUGACCAUUCGUUGAUGGUUUGAGUCAAUCUAGGUCGUAGAUAACAUUUGCAAGGGUUAGUUUCUAGGAAAACUAGUUUGUCCCACAUCGUUGGCUUGUUUCUUUGUAUGAGUUUUGGGGUUCUAUUUACCCUAAAAAAAAAAGUUUGAACAUCUAUAGCUUGAACUUUGAGUGAACAAAACUCGAAAUUCUGAGCUUUAGUUAAAUUUUUUUUAAAGACUUAACUGCUAAGUGGAGUCUUCUAGUCCAAAUAUUUAUUUGCUUUUUCUCUUGUGUGGUGAAUUGCGACAAUUGAAAGCACAAAGGCUCCAAAUCCAUUCUUGUUCACAGCUGCGCAAACAAAAGGUUCAGGUAGACAGGGUGACGAUCCGCCUUAGUAGGUUGAUGUUCAGCUGAUAUUGGAGCACUCCACUUGUCUCGGAGUUGCCGUCGUGUCUUGGUACAGUAUAUUUUUGUUGUACAUAUCGGUAUGGCGGGGACCUAUCCUGACCUUAUUAUAUCAUGUACUCUAGUAGAGGCUUGUAGACAGUUGUGGUGCAGUUAGACGUUGUGUGGCCCCCUCGGCCUAUAUUUUGUUAUAUAGUUGUCUAUGAUGGCCUUGUCCGCUCGUACAAUUUUGUCUAGCAUGGUUAUAUACGUAUGUUCUUUUGGGCUCA